rnacentral:rRNA from 1 species
AACGAACGCUGGCGGCAGGCCUAACACAUGCAAGUCGAGCGCCCCGCAAGGGGAGCGGCGGACGGGUGAGUAACGCGUGGGAACGUACCCUUUGCUACGGAAUGGCCUCGGGAAACUGGGAGUAAUACCGUAUGUGUCCUUCGGGAGAAAGAUUUAUCGGCAAGGGAUCGGCCCGCGUUGGAUUAGGUAGUUGGUGGGGUAAUGGCCUACCAAGCCGACGAUCCAUAGCUGGUUUGAGAGGAUGAUCAGCCACACUGGGACUGAGACACGGCCCAGACUCCUACGGGAGGCAGCAGUGGGGAAUCUUAGACAAUGGGCGCAAGCCUGAUCUAGCCAUGCCGCGUGAGCGAUGAAGGCCUUAGGGUUGUAAAGCUCUUUCAGGGGGGAAGAUAAUGACUGUACCCCCAGAAGAAGCCCCGGCUAACUCCGUG